rnacentral:tRNA from 1 species
GACUCUGUGGCUUAACGGUGAGAGCGCACCAUUCGGUGAGAUCCGAGGUUCAAAUCCCGGCAGGUCCU